GAAUGAAUGGUUUAACUAAAUACUCAUGUCUUAUUAUUAUAUUUCAAAUUUUAUAUUUUAGUAAAAAAGCUAAAAUUAAUGUUAAAGACAAGAAGACCCUAUUAAGCUUUAUAAUUAUAAUUUAAUAUCAAUAUAAACUAAAAAUUAUUUUACUGGGGCAGAAAUAAAAAAAAAUUUUAUUUUAAUAGUAUGAAUACAAUUCUUGAAAAAUCAAAAAAUUUUUAAAAAGGAAUAAGUUACUAUAGGGAUAACAGCAUUAUUUUCUUAAAGAGUCCUUAUCAUCAAGAAAGUUUGUGACCUCGAUGUUGGAUUAAGAUACCUUUUUCAUGCAAUAAUAAAAUUAAGGAAGU
rnacentral:rRNA from 1 species